ACGCUCGACACCUACGGAGGCAGCAGUGGGGAAUAUUGGGCAAUGGGCGCAAGCCUGACCCAGCAACGCCGCGUGAAGGAAGAAGGCUUUCGGGUUGUAAACUUCUUUUAUUAAGGACGAAGCAAUGACGGUACUUAAUGAAUAAGCUCCGGCUAACUACGUGCAAGCAGCCGCGGUAAUCUGAGCGGGCUGGCAAGGC
rnacentral:rRNA from 1 species